GGGCGCGUAGCUCAGCGGCAGAGCGCCUGCCUUACAAGCAGGAUGUCACUGGUUCGAACCCAGUCGUGCCCA
rnacentral:tRNA from 1 species